UACGGAAGGGGCGAGCGUUGUUCGGAAUCAUUGGGCGUAAAGGGCGCGUAGGUGGUUCUGUAUGUCUACCGUGAAAGCGUACGGCUCAACCGUAUUUUGUCGGUAGAAACUGCAGGACCUGAGGCUGGGAGGGGCUGGUGGAAUUCCCUGUGUAGCGGUGAAAUGCGUAGAUAUCGGAAGGAACAUCAGUGGCGAAAGCGACUUCCUGGACCAAUACUGACGCUCAUGUGCGAAAGCGUGGGGAGCAAACA
rnacentral:rRNA from 1 species